UAAUCGGCUUUGAUAAAGAGUAGUACAUAUACGGUUCAUUUACAGAGAGCUUGUGGUUGCUGUGAACAGGUAAUGACCUAUAUGGAAUGGACUUUUGAGCUUCUAUACAGAACUAAAGUAUGUAUAGACGUGGUUCUUGCGUUAAAGAAUUAAGUGAUUUCUACUAUAGAAAUAAGUAGGGUGGCACCGCGGUCCAUCGUCCCUAUA
rnacentral:ncRNA from 1 species